rnacentral:rRNA from 1 species
AGAGUUUGAUCCUGGCUCAGGAUGAACGCUAGCGACAGGCUUAACACAUGCAAGUCGAGGGGCAGCGGUGGUGAAGGCUUGCCUUUACCAGCCGGCGACCGGCGCACGGGUGAGUAACACGUAUGCAACCUGCCUGCCACAGCCGGAUAAUCGGGAGAAAUUCCGUCUAAUACGGCAUAAUGCAUCGACGGGACAUCCUGUUGGUGCCAAAGGUUGAUUCCGGUGGCGGAUGGGCAUGCGUCGCAUUAGUUAGUUGGCGGUGUAACGGACCACCAAGACGACGAUGCGUAGGGGUUCUGAGAGGAAGGUCCCCCACACUGGUACUGAGACACGGACCAGACUCCUACGGGAGGCAGCAGUGAGGAAUAUUGGUCAAUGGGCGGGAGCCUGAACCAGCCAAGUCGCGUGAGGGAUGACGGCCCUAUGGGUUGUAAACCUCUUUUGCCGGGGAGCAAAGUGCCGCACGUGUGCGGUUUGGAGAGUACCCGGAGAAAAAGCAUCGGCUAACUCCGUGCCAGCAGCCGCGGUAAUACGGAGGAUGCGAGCGUUAUCCGGAUUUAUUGGGUUUAAAGGGUGCGUAGGCGGACGCUUAAGUCAGCGGUAAAAUUGCGGGGCUCAACCUCGUCGAGCCGUUGAAACUGGGUGCCUUGAGUGGGCGAGAAGUACGCGGAAUGCGUGGUGUAGCGGUGAAAUGCAUAGAUAUCACGCAGAACUCCGAUUGCGAAGGCAGCGUACCGGCGCCCAACUGACGCUGAAGCACGAAGGCGUGGGUAUCGAACAGGAUUAGAUACCCUGGUAGUCCACGCAGUAAACGAUGAAUGCUAGUUGUCCGGGGCGAUUGAGUUCUGGGUGACACAGCGAAAGCGUUAAGCAUUCCACCUGGGGAGUACGCCGGCAACGGUGAAACUCAAAGGAAUUGACGGGGGCCCGCACAAGCGGAGGAACAUGUGGUUUAAUUCGAUGAUACGCGAGGAACCUUACCCGGGCUCAAACGCAGGAGGGAUGUUUUUGGAAGGAGGCAGCCAGCAAUGGUCUCCUGCGAGGUGCUGCAUGGUUGUCGUCAGCUCGUGCCGUGAGGUGUCGGCUUAAGUGCCAUAACGAGCGCAACCCCUACCUACAGUUGCCAUCGCGUGAUGGCGGGCACUCUGUGGGGACUGCCUGCGCAAGCAGUGAGGAAGGCGGGGAUGACGUCAAAUCAGCACGGCCCUUACGUCCGGGGCGACACACGUGUUACAAUGGCAGGUACAGCGGGAAGCCACCCGGCGACGGGGCGCGGAACCCGAAAACCUGUCUCAGUUCGGAUUGGAGUCUGCAACCCGACUCCAUGAAGCUGGAUUCGCUAGUAAUCGCGCAUCAGCCACGGCGCGGUGAAUACGUUCCCGGGCCUUGUACUCACCGCCCGUCAAG